rnacentral:rRNA from 1 species
GACGAACGCUGGCGGCGUGCUUAACACAUGCAAGUCGAACGGAAAGGCCCCUUUGGGGGUACUCGAGAGGCGAACGGGUGAGUAACACGUGAGUAACCUGCCCUUGACUUCGGGAUAACUUCAGGAAACUGGGGCUAAUACCGGAUAGGAAUCCUUGCUGCAUGGUGGAGGUUGGAAAGCUUCGGCGGUUUUGGAUGGACUCGCGGCUUAUCAGCUUGUUGGUGGGGUAGUGGCUUACCAAGGCUUUGACGGGUAGCCGGCCUGAGAGGGCGACCGGCCACAUUGGGACUGAGAUACGGCCCAGACUCCUACGGGAGGCAGCAGUGGGGAAUAUUGCACAAUGGGCGGAAGCCUGAUGCAGCAACGCCGCGUGCGGGAUGACGGCCUUCGGGUUGUAAACCGCUUUCAGCAGGGGCGAAGCUUGUGGUGACGGUACCUGCAGAAGAAGCACCGGCUAACUACGUG